UGAGUAACACGUGACUAACCUACCCUAGAGUGGGGGAUAACCUCGGGAAAACCGGGGCUAAUACCGCAUAAUAUCUUCGGGAUGAGAAGCUGAAGAUCAAAGGAGCAAUUCGCUUUUGGAGGGGGUCGCGGCUGAUUAGCUAGUUGGCGGGGUAACGGCCCACCAAGGCUUUGAUCGGUAGCCGGCCUGAGAGGGCGCACGGCCACACUGGAACUGAAACACGGUCCAGACUCCUACGGGAGGCAGCAGUGGGGAAUUUUGCGCAAUGGGGGAAACCCUGACGCAGCAACGCCGCGUGGAGGAUGAAGUCCCUUGGGACGUAAACUCCUUUCGACCGGGAAGAUUAUGACGGUACCGGUGGAAGAAGCCCCGGCUAACUUCGUGCCAGCAGCCGCGGUAAUACGAGGGGGGCAAGCGUUGUUCGGAAUUAUUGGGCGUAAAAGGGCGCGUAGGCGGCAUAGCAAGUCACCUGUGAAAAACUCUGGGCUCAACCCAGAGCCUGCAGGCGAAACUGCAAUGCUUGAGUAUGGGAGAGGUGC
rnacentral:rRNA from 1 species